AAUGAUGUUUUGAGAAAAUACUCUUUUUGUUGCGUUCUGUCAUUAAUUACGUGAUUAAAUACUUGUAUUCUUUACAAAGUCAAUUUCUCCUGUACGCAAAAUACUUUGUUUAGGAAUAUAAUUAAUGUGUUUUUACAGGUGAAAUUCAUAACUUUUCCAUGCCAGAAUGGUAGCCGACGGAGUCUCAAAAGUUGUAGUUAGAGUGAAUUCACAGGUGACACAAGACAGCUUUAUUUUUGUUAAUGGACAGGAAGCAGCAGAAACACCCCACACUUUGAUUCUUAAAGAAUUUUUCAAAAUACAACCAAAGGCAUUGGGGGUAAGACAUUUAAUGAUCAAUUAUGAUGAUAUAUGGUUCUAAAGAUGUAUGUUAUGCCAUUAUGAAUAAAACAUCUGACCUUUGCUGUUUAGAUUGUCCAAAUAAUGACUGGAGUGAUGGUCUUCUUUCUGGGUGUUGUUCUCACCACCAGUGGCUACGGUUAUCCCGCUAUUCUGGUCUACAGUGGCAUCACCUACUGGGGAUCCUUUAUUUACAUCAGUGCUGGAUCUCUGUCGAUUGCUGCGCAGUAUAAAUAUCAGUUGUUUUUGGUAUGUAUAUGAUACCCACAUAUUUCAACAUACAUAUUUCUUAUGUAUUUGUGGUCAGUAUUUGUAACUGUAACACUUUGGAAUUUAAUAAUUUACAUUACCAUAGUACACAUAAAAUUGUUUUAGAUUGUUAAAAAUGUCAAUAAAAAUCACUUUGUUAACUUUUUUAACAAGAAAAAAAUGUUGAAACUGAGAUCAAAGUCUCACAAUUUAAAUUGAAACCGUAAAUAAAUAAUAUUUUUCUUUACCGUGAA